UACAGAGGGUGCGAGCGUUAAUCGGAAUUACUGGGCGUAAAGCGCACGUAGGCGGCUUGGUAUGUCGGGUGUGAAAUCCCCGGGCUCAACCUGGGAACUGCAUCCGAAACUGCCUUGCUAGAGUAUGGGAGAGGGAAGUGGAAUUUCCGGUGUAGCGGUGAAAUGCGUAGAUAUCGGAAGGAACAUCAGUGGCGAAGGCGACUUCCUGGACCAAUACUGACGCUCAGGAGCGAAAGCGUGGGGAGCGAACAGG
rnacentral:rRNA from 1 species